rnacentral:tRNA from 4 species
GGGUGCGUAGCUCAGUUUGGUUAGAGCAUCGGGCUUUUAACCUGGUGGUCGCAGGUUCGAGUCCUGUCGCACCUA